UACGUAGGGUGCGAGCGUUGUCCGGAAUUAUUGGGCGUAAAGGGCUCGUAGGCGGUUUGUCGCGUCGGGAGUGAAAACCCAGGGCUUAACUCUGGGCUUGCUUUCGAUACGGGCAGACUAGAGGUAUGCAGGGGAGAACGGAAUUCCUGGUGUAGCGGUGAAAUGCGCAGAUAUCAGGAGGAACACCGGUGGCGAAGGCGGUUCUCUGGGCAUCACCUGACGCUGAGGAGCGAAAGUGUGGGGAGCGGAACAGGA
rnacentral:rRNA from 1 species